ensembl:ribozyme RNase_MRP RNase MRP
GGGCAUUCGGAAGGCUUGCACUCUGGGCUACACGCUGAGAACCUGUUUCUCUCCCCCCGCCCAGGGGAAAGUCCCCGGACACCGAGCAGAGAGUGCUCCUGGGUGAUCCCAGCGUCGGCCUGCGCUCCACCGCUGUGAAGCUAAGACGUUCACCCGAACAGAGCUUGGUGAUCGCUGGUCGGCUUUGUCAGCGUUAAUAGUAAUGCAAGUGAGCAGUUACUGACGCCGAAACAGAACGGGGCUCAUUCUCGGAAUGCA